rnacentral:rRNA from 1 species
UCGACGGCAGCACGGGUGCUUGCACCUGGUGGCGAGUGGCGAACGGGUGAGUAAUACAUCGGAACAUGUCCUGUAGUGGGGGAUAGCCCGGCGAAAGCCGGAUUAAUACCGCAUACGAUCUACGGAUGAAAGCGGGGGACCUUCGGGCCUCGCGCUAUAGGGGUUGGCCGAUGGCUGAUUAGCUUAGUUGGUGGGGUAAAGAGCCCACCAAAGGCGGACGAUCAGUAGCUGGUCUGAGAGGACGACCCAGCCACACUGGGACUGAGACACGGCCCCAGACUCCUACGGGAGGCCAGCAGUGUGGGAAUUUUGGACCAAUGGGCGAAAGCCUGAUCCAGCAAUGCCGCGUGUGUGAAGAAGGCCUUCGGGUUGUAAAGCACUUUUGUCCGGAAAGAAAUCCUUGAUUCUAAUACAGUCGGGGGAUGACGGUACCGGAAGAAUAAGCACCGGCUAACUACGUGCCAGCAGCCGCGGUAAUACGUAGGGUGCAAGCGUUAAUCGGAAUUACUGGGCGUAAAGCGUGCGCAGGCGGUUUGCUAAGACCGAUGUGAAAUCCCCGGGCUCAACCUGGGAACUGCAUUGGUGACUGGCAGGCUAGAGUAUGGCAGAGGGGGGUAGAAUUCCACGUGUAGCAGUGAAAUGCGUAGAGAUGUGGAGGAAUACCGAUGGCGAAGGCAGCCCCCUGGGCCAAUACUGACGCUCAUGCACGAAAGCGUGGGGAGCAAACAGGAUUAGAUACCCUGGUAGUCCACGCCCUAAACGAUGUCAACUAGUUGUUGGGGAUUCAUUUCCUUAGUAACGUAGCUAACGCGUGAAGUUGACCGCCUGGGGAGUACGGUCGCAAGAUUAAAACUCAAAGGAAUUGACGGGGACCCGCACAAGCGGUGGAUGAUGUGGAUUAAUUCGAUGCAACGCGAAAAACCUUACCUACCCUUGACAUGGUCGGAAUCCCGCUGAGAGGUGGGAGUGCUCGAAAGAGAACCGGCGCACAGGUGCUGCAUGGCUGUCGUCAGCUCGUGUCGUGAGAUGUUGGGUUAAGUCCCGCAACGAGCGCAACCCUUGUCCUUAGUUGCUACGCAAGAGCACUCUAAGGAGACUGCCGGUGACAAACCGGAGGAAGGUGGGGAUGACGUCAAGUCCUCAUGGCCCUUAUGGGUAGGGCUUCCACACGUCAUACAAUGGUCGGAACAGAGGGUUGCCAACCCGCGAGGGGGAGCUAAUCCCAGAAAACCGAUCGUAGUCCGGAUUGCACUCUGCAACUCGAGUGCAUGAAGCUGGAAUCGCUAGUAAUCGCGGAUCAGCAUGCCGCGGUGAAUACGUUCCCGGGUCUUGUACACACCGCCCGUCACACCAUGGGAGUGGGUUUUACCAGAAGUGGCUAGUCUAACCGCAAGGAGGACGGUCACCACGGUAGGAUUCAUGACUGGGGGAAGUCUAUU